rnacentral:rRNA from 1 species
UAAUACAUGCAAGUCGAGCGAACCACUUCGGUGGUGAGCGGCGAACGGGUGAGUAACACGUAGGUGAUCCGCCCAUCAGACGGGGACAACGAUUGGAAACGAUCGCUAAUACCGGAUAGGACGAAAGUUUAAAGGUGCUCCUGGCACCGCUGAUGGAUGAGCCUGCGGCGCAUUAGCUAGUUGGUAGGGUAAAGGCCUACCAAGGCGACGAUGCGUAGCCGACCUGAGAGGGUGAACGGCCACACUGGGACUGAGACACGGCCCAGACUCC